GUUUCUCCAUGGGUGGGGAUUUGUUGCAUUACUUGUAGCUAUGUGCAGAGUAUUGCACUUGUCCCGGCCUGUGGAGGAAAG
rnacentral:pre_miRNA from 1 species